rnacentral:rRNA from 1 species
UACGGAGGGAGCUAGCGUUGUUCGGAUUUACUGGGCGUAAAGCGCACGUAGGCGGCGCCGUAAGUCAGGUGUGAAAUCCCGGAGCUCAACUCCGGAACUGCCUUUGAAACUGCGGUGCUAGAAUCCUGGAGAGGCGAGUGGAAUUCCGAGUGUAGAGGUGAAAUUCGUAGAUAUUCGGAAGAACACCAGUGGCGAAGGCGACUCGCUGGACAGGUAUUGACGCUGAGGUGCGAAAGCGUGGGGAGCAAACAGG